rnacentral:lncRNA from 1 species
GGGGCGGCCCCGCGUGCUUUCGCCGUGAGGUCGCUGGGGUUAGCAGGCGAGUGGCGAGUUGUCCCGGCUCCGUGUUGCCGAUCCGUGCCGUGGCACUUUGCGAUGGAAAAGUACGGGCCUUGUGGUGGUGGGACCUCUGAGAUGAAAACGAGAGCUUUUGAUUCGUCUGAAGCUUGAGAAGCAGUGACUCGCAGGAGCGGUUCUGAGGACAGCCUGCAUGUUGGUGUGGCACAGUGAGCAAAGUGACCACCUCAAGCAGAUCUUAGGAAAGCACCAAGAAGGGAAGGUGAUACAAGUGAUGUAUCCUCCAGUGUGAGGCACUGAGAGGAGCAGUUACUGUCGUUUUGAACACAGAGCCUGUCGAGACUGAAUCUUGUGUGGAACAAGCUCGUUUGUAGUCACAAGUUCAGCCAGAGAAAGAAGGAGAAGCAAGAGAAGCGAGUGGCAAAGAGUCAAGUAAACCAGGCAAUGGAAGGGAAGGUUCAGCUGCCUGCAUUUAAGUGCUUUUCAGAUACCACAAUGCAGCUGAUUUCAUUCAGUCCCAAUCCCAUGCAGAGGUUUCAGGCUGCAGCUACCCUCUCAAACACCUGGUAACGGAAGGCUCCUGUAUUAUUAGAAACAUUUUACAUCUUGGGCCCAGCUCAGCUCUUCUGAAAAGCGAUCAUCUGGAAGUCAGCCUGUGGUCCGUCUGCAUCACACGGAUGAUCCCUGCUUUCUGAAACAAUCUGUUCCACUGUUUUUGAAGUCUCCAGGCCCUGUGAGCAGGGGCUGUCCAACGCAUCACCGCUGCUGUUGCAGCGAAGAGGAGAGGUGAUGUCAGAGGGCUGCUCUGGGGGUUUGCCUGGAGCAGGAGGCAGGGACACAGACAGGGGAAGGUUCAUCAUGUAGAACACAUUGCCCAGACGUCGAGACACCUUGAAAGAC